rfam:Chromatiales bacterium (ex Bugula neritina AB1) isolate AB1-2 AB833_contig000081, whole genome shotgun sequence.
CAUCGGCCCUCUCGCGACGAUAAGCCGUGAACCCCGUCAGGCCUGGAAGGGAGCAGCGGCAGCGGUGGACUCGGGUGCCGGGAUGUGGCUGGUGCGA